GAUGUCCUUUUAAAAGGUUGAGGAAACCACUGGUAGCCCAUUGACUCGCAAGUGUAGGUAGUGUGCUACAUGAGAGGCAAGACUUAGCAAACACCACAAGAGUCUCUGGCCCAAUGAGUGGAGUUUGAUAGUAAUUUUAGCUACAAGU
rnacentral:snoRNA from 1 species